AGUCGACGGCAGCGCGGGGCAACCUGGCGGCGAGUGGCGAACGGGUGAGUAAUAUAUCGGAACGUACCCAAGAGUGGGGGAUAACGUAGCGAAAGUUACGCUAAUACCGCAUACGAUCUAAGGAUGAAAGCAGGGGAUCUUCGGACCUUGUGCUCCUGGAGCGGCCGAUAUCUGAUUAGCUAGUUGGUGAGGUAAAGGCUCACCAAGGCCACGAUCAGUAGCUGGUCUGAGAGGACGACCAGCCACACUGGAACUGAGACACGGUCCAGACUCCUACGGGAGGCAGCAGUGGGGAAUUUUGGACAAUGGGCGAAAGCCUGAUCCAGCAAUGCCGCGUGAGUGAAGAAGGCCUUCGGGUUGUAAAGCUCUUUUGUCAGGGAAGAAACGGUGAGGGCUAAUAUCCUUCGCUAAUGACGGUACCUGAAGAAUAAGCACCGGCUAACUACGUGCCAGCAGCCGCGGUAAUACGUAGGGUGCAAGCGUUAAUCGGAAUUACUGGG
rnacentral:rRNA from 1 species